rnacentral:rRNA from 1 species
AUUGAACGCUGGCGGGGUGCUUUACACAUGCAAGUCGAACGGAGUGGCGGACGGGUGUGUAACAUAUCUGAACGUGCUCAGUAGCGGGGGAUAACUACUCGAAAUCGUGGCUAGUACUGCAUAACUUUGGAGAGGCCGAUAUCGGAUUAGUCAGUUGGUGGGGUAAAGGCUCACAAAGGCAACGAUCCGUAGCUGGUUUGAGAGGACGACCAGCCACACUGGGACUGAGACACGGCCCAGACUCCGACGGGAGGCAGCAGUGGGGAAUUUUGGACAAUGGGGGAAACCCUGAUCCAGCCAUCCCGCGUGUAUGAUGAAGGCCUUCGGGUUGUAAAGUACUUUUGGCAGAGAAGCGGUAUCUGCAGAAUAAGCACCGGCUAACUACGUGCCAGCAGCCGCGGUAAUAC